GGAAAACGGUGCUGGUUCACUGGGGCGCGUUUCCGGGAAGGUGAAUACCGGUGAAAGUUAUGCUGAGGGUGAGUAAACUCAAAAACUGACACUUGAUUCAGCUAUUGGAAAGUUUUUUUAAUGUGGUUGGAACAACUGAGGUAUGUGAAUCUACUUUUUCAACUGUACAUUUUAUGAAAUCUAAAUACUGAUCAAGUCCCAGGCAUGGGUGGCUCAUGCCUAUUAUCCCAGCACUUUGGGAGGCUGAGGCAGGAGGAUUGCUUGAGGUGAGGAGUCUGAGACCAGCCUGGUCAGCACAGUGAGACCCUAUCUGUACAAAAAAUUAAAAAAUUAGCCAGAUGUGGCCUGGCGCGGUGGCUCAUGCCUGUAAUCCCAGCACUUUGGGAGGCCGAGGCAGGUGGAUCACGAGGUCAAGAGAUCAAGACCAUCCUGGCUAACACAGUGAAACCCCGUCUCUACUAAGAAUACAGAGAAUUAGCUGGGCAUAGUGGCAGACACCUGUGGUCCCAGCUACCUGGGAGGCUGAGGCAGGAGAAUGCAUGAACCCAAGAGGCCGAGCUUGCAGUGAGUUGAAAUCGCGCCACUGCACUCCAGCCUGGGCGACAGAGCGAGAUUCUGUUUCAAAAAAAAAAAAAAAUUAGCCAGAUGUGGUGACACACACCUGUGGUCCCAGCUACUCCAGAGGCUGAGGUGGGAGGAUAAGUUGGGCCAGGGAAGCUGAGGUUGCAGCGAGCUGUGAUCCUGCCACUGCAUUCCAGCCUGGCAACAGAGCAAGACCAUGUCUCUAU
rnacentral:lncRNA from 1 species